UCUCCGUAGGUGAACCUGCGGAGGGAUCAUUACAGAGUUCAUGCCCUACCGGGUAGAUCUCCCACCCUAUGUUAUUAUUACUUUGUUGCUUAGGCGGGCCGUUAGGCUCCGGCCCGACUACCGGCCCCGGCUGGUAAGCGCCCGCCAGAGGACCCAAAACCCUGAAUAUUAGUGUCGUCUGAGUACUAUAUAAUAGUUAAAACUUUCAACAACGGAUCUCUUGGUUCUG
rnacentral:misc_RNA from 1 species